AAGAUCAUAUCAUAGGGAACAUGUGUACUACGUUUAAAGUUGAUUGGACUUCAACUGCAUCAAAAACUACCUUGACCAAAAACUUUAACCUGAAGCAGGACAGACAGACGGACAAACAGACGGACGGAUGCACAGACCAGAAAACAUAAUGCCCCUCUACUAUCGUAGGUGGGGCAUAAAAAACAUGUAAAAAUCUAACAAAAUUCUUUAUAGUGAUAAGCAUAAUAAUUUGAAAAGUGAAACAUUACCCCCAUCCCUAUCUUCAGAAGUGAAUUAUUAACUCCAGUAUUUUCCCUCGAGUUUUCAAAUAGCACCAUAGAAC
rnacentral:lncRNA from 1 species